UACGAAGGGGGCUAGCGUUGUUCGGAAUUACUGGGCGUAAAGGGCGUGUAGGCGGCCCGUUAAGACAGGUGUGAAAUCCCUGGGCUCAACCCAGGAACUGCGUCCGAUACUGGCUGGCUUGAAUUCGGGAGAGGGAUGCGGAAUUCCAGGUGUAGCGGUGAAAUGCGUAGAUAUCUGGAGGAACACCGGUGGCGAAGGCGGCAUCCUGGACCGAUAUUGACGCUGAGGCGCGAAAGCCAGGGGAGCAAACGGG
rnacentral:rRNA from 1 species